rnacentral:rRNA from 1 species
UACGUAGGCAGCGAGCGUUGUUCGGAGUUACUGGGCGUAAAGCGUGCGUAGGCGGUUGUCUAAGUUUGGUGUGAAAUCUCCUGGCUUAACUGGGAGGGUGCGCCGAAAACUGGGUGACUGGAGUGUCGGAGAGGUAAGCGGAAUUCCUGGUGUAGCGGUGAAAUGCGUAGAGAUCAGGAGGAACACCGGUGGCGAAGGCGGGUCUCUGGGCCGUAACUGACGCUGAGGAGCGAAAGCAUGGGGAGCGAACAGG